rnacentral:miRNA from 1 species
CAAAGUGCUGCUAUUGCAGGUAG